GACCAGAACUAACUGGAAGGUGGCACAUUGU
rnacentral:piRNA from 1 species